AGCUGGCUAGUUCAGUUGGAAGGGCAUGAGACUCACAAUCUCAGGAUCGUGGGUUUGAGCCUCACGCUGGGUG